rnacentral:rRNA from 1 species
UAAACUACGAUUAGAUACCCUAUUAUUUUAAAUGUAAAAUUAUAAUGCUUGGGUAGUAAUAGAUAUGGUCUUGAAACUCAAAGAAUUUGGCGGUGUUUUAGUCCUUUCAGAGGAACCUGUCCCGUGAUCGAUAGUCCACGUUUUAUCUUACUUAAUUUUGUUAUCAGCUUGUAUACCGCCGUCGUCAGAAUGUCCUUUGAGGGGAAUAAUUUUCUUGAUUUUUAAAUAGAAUUGAUGUCAGGUCAAGGUGCAGCUUAUGGUUAAGAGGAGAUGGGUUACAAUAAGUUUAUUUAUACGAAUAAUUAGUUGAAAAAUUAAUUUGAAGGUGGAUUUGAUUGUAAUUUGUUCAAUUAAAUUUGAGUGACUUUGGCUCUAAAACAUGCACACAUCGCCCGUCGCUCUUA